rnacentral:rRNA from 1 species
UACGUAGGGUGCAAGCGUUGUCCGGAAUUAUUGGGCGUAAAGAGCUUGUAGGCGGUUUGUCGCGUCUGCUGUGAAAAUCCGGGGCUCAACCCCGGACUUGCAGUGGGUACGGGCAGACUAGAGUGUGGUAGGGGAGACUGGAACUCCUGGUGUAGCGGUGAAAUGCGCAGAUAUCAGGAGGAACACCGAUGGCGAAGGCAGGUCUCUGGGCCACUACUGACGCUGAGAAGCGAAAGCAUGGGGAGCGAACAGG